rnacentral:rRNA from 1 species
CCUACGGGAGGCAGCAGUGGGGAAUAUUGCGCAAUGGGCGAAAGCCUGACGCAGCGACGCCGCGUGAGGGAUGAAGGUCUUCGGAUCGUAAACCUCUGUCAGCAGGGAAGAACGGUCACUGUGCUAAUCAGCAGUGAAUUGACGGUACCUGCAAAGGAAGCACCGGCUAACGCCGUGCCAGCAGCCGCGGUAAUAAGGAGGGUGCGAGCGUUAAUCGGAAUUACUGGGCGUAAAGCGCUCGUAGGCGGUAUGUCAAGUCAAGGGUGAAAUCCGCGCGCUAAACGUGGGAACUGCCGUUGAAACUGGCAAACUGGAGUGUGUGAGAGGAUAGUGGAAUGCCAGGUGUAGGAGUGAAAGCCGUAGAUAUCUGGAGGAACAUCAGUGGCGAAGGCGACUAUCUGGCACAUAACUGACGCUGAGGAGCGAAAGCGUGGGUAGCAAACAGGAUUAGAUACCCCGGUAGUC